rnacentral:rRNA from 1 species
GGGCCGGUCCCGCCGCCCCCGCCCGCCUACGGGAGGCAGCAGUAGGGAAUAUUGGGCAAUGGAGGCAACUCUGACCCAGCCACGCCGCGUGGAGGAUGAAGGUGCUAUGCAUUGUAAACUUCUUUUGUCAAGGGAGAAAGUGCUUGAUUAAUCAAGGUUUGACGGUACUUGGCGAAUAAGCAUCGGCUAACUACCGUG